AGAGAGGAAAUUAAUAAAAUGUAAACAAAUGCAAACCCCUCCUCCAAGUAGAGUUUUGACCCCCGAAAGGAGACAUGCCAGAGACUCCAUGAAAUCCACUACGCACUUGGUUAUUGCUAUGGAUUUUAUGUGGAAGGUGCCCAUGUAUUACAGAGAUGGGCAGCGAGAUAAAAGCCUAAGCAAGAUAGCGCUGACAAAACUACCAUGUGGGCAGGACCCUGGAGAUCCUCUUCUGGACGAGGCUGCCACAGGCUGGGAAGCAGGACCACCGCGGUGCCGUUUGGGCACUGACUGCUAGUACGCACUGGAAAUGUGAUAACAAUGUGAAGUCCUCCCUUUAAUCAGCUGCCAGUUGAUUAAGUCUGCAGAAUUGCCCAGUUACCGCUCUCGAAAUAAAGGGGCAGAGCUCAGAGCACCCGGAUUAGCAGGGACCACAGCUCCCACCCCUUGUGCCAACUAAUGCUCAUCUCUAAUAAGUAUUAAUACAACGCCACAACUGUGCAAGGCACAUCACAGGUUAAAGAAGGGGAGAGACACAGUCCCUGCCUCAAAGAACUUCUUGUCUAAAUAAGAUGACACAGGACAGGACGGGGGAGAGACAGAGGGAGGGGAGGGCUGGAAGGAAUCAUGUGAUUCACAGUACAAAGCGGUGGAUCACGGACACGUGUUUAAGUGGUGAUUGAGGUUGGGCAAGACAGGAGCAGACAGCAGAGGGGAGAGCCAGCAGGAUUCAAGGAGGGAGCUGAAGGAGAAGAACGAGGAGGGCUGAGGUUCCAGGCACAGGAAAGGAGAGGCAUACCCAAAAAGUUGCUAGCGGCCUUCAGCUCAUGAUGCAAAAAGGGGGUUGGAGGAUCCAGCACCAUCAGAAUGAAGGGUGGCUCUGCAGUGCACCCAUGCAGUACCAGAGUGCAGGACCUCCCACGCGAGGGCCCUGCUCCUUCAAGCUGGCACCAUAUGCAGACAGCACUGUGCUUUCAAGUCAGGCGCAGAACUUCACUGGCCUGAAGGCUGUUCCCGAAGAGGAAAAGCCCCUCACUGCAAAACAAGCAGAAACUCCCAUGGCCAACCUAGGAAGGAAUGACUAUAAAUGUGCAAAGGGAUCAACACGCAGUGCGUCCAGGCCCCUCUGUCUCCAACCUCCAGACAAAGGCUAUUACCAGCCAAGGCAUGUCUAGCCUGACCCAGUGACCUCAGCACACGUGGGAACAUGACAACCCGAUGAGGAGAGAGGAACUGGUGAACGGAGGCACACUGGGAUUUUUCUAAGGAAUAUUCAGAUUUCCUUUGGCUACUUACAAGGUGCUGAACUAGAUGAACCCAGCAACAAGGGAGACACCACAAUGGUGGACACAGGCUGCUGUCCUUUAGCAUAGCCUUCCUGACCUGCUGCCACUCUAUGGAGUGGUACAGAAGAAGCCACCAUGUCCACACAGCCUACCUGCCUGCCCUGGCCAGACCAGAGAGAGGUGCUCACAGAGGUAGCUGGCGAGAAGGAAGUAGACUGGGCAGUAUGAGAACAGCUGGAAAGAGAAGGUGGGCUAUAGCCAACGCGUAGCUGAUGGGGGCUACAGCUAGAACCCCUCCCCCAAAACAUGACUACAGUAUUGCCCCUUUAAACAUUUCUCCUCUGUGUUACUCAAAGGGGAACUUCAAAAUAAAAGGGAAGAAUGAGGGAAGCCCACCCAGAAUCUAGUGCAGAGACCCCAUGCACCAGCUUUGACUAACUUUUUAACAUUCUUUGUUGGUAUCCCUGGGCUCAGUGAAGAUAUCCCACAAUGCUUCACUCUGACAUAAUUAAUGCCAUAGAUUGCAAAAAAGGCACCUGGUAUUUGCGGUCUUGUGUUCCGAGAUCAUUUUGCUGAGCCAGGAAGUACCAGGAGAAGAAUUCCACAGAGGGAGAAAGAAGAUUUUUUAAAUUAAUGGAAUCUGGGUUACCUGAUUCCCCCCAGCCCACCCCCAAGCCUGGUUAGACAGACAGGAGCUUUGGCAUCAGAAUCUGGACUACACUCAGGUCUUAUUUUUCUUUUGCAUUCACCUUAAAAAAAAACAACAACAACCCUAAAGCUAACUGCCAUAUGAGGAAAUUAGUGUUUAGGAAACAAACGUUAAGUGCCUUGGCUCUGAUGGGUUUCUAAUCUAGAGAUGACGGCAAGAUUUGCCUAGUAAGACGCUUGAAGAGUUGUCAUAGUCUGAGCUAACAGCUUUGUUGUGUGGUGGUUUUUUUAAGAACUGGUGCAGUAGAGGAGCAUUUUGGGACCUGUAGCUCCGGAUUACCUGUCUAAAUGGACACGGGUACAUUUAAAAAAUUCCUACUGACAAUUUAAACGAUUCCAGAGUCUGAGGAGCCCCUUUUAAACAAUGCGGAAACAAUUAUUUACCUAAAUUCCUUUAUAAAACGUUGAUUUGCAAAAGGUGUUUUCUGCUCCCCUGUGAUAUUUGCAAGGGUCUAUCCAGCAGGGAAGAGUGGCAGCACCAAAUAUGCUUGAACGCACCCUCUCCUUCCUCUCUGGGCACAGGCCUGUUUGCCGACUUCUCCGUUUCAGUUUUGCAGCUGUUAUUACCGGUAAACACCCUUUUGCAAGGUAUGAGGGGCACAGUAUGUAUGCACACAAGCCCUCUACCCCAGUCAAAAGCAGAGCAGGCAUGGGACUGGCCGCACAGCGGUGAGAUCAGCUAGAGCAUAAGACAGGACGCGUAACUGACCAACAAAACAGUGAAAGUAACUCCACACAAAACAGUUGCCAGUGCAUAAGGGGAACACUAAAGAAAAACAAACAAUUGUUUUCAUAGCUAUAGGAAUCUUAUGGGGUAUUUAUAACAGUAAUCCAUAAAAUUUUCAGCGGGAAAUGAGAUUCCUAACUUGUAAACAUCCCUUUAAAUCACUGUCAGAUACAAUCGCUUUCAUUUUAAUCUCACAAGAAGGGUUUGGUUUUUUUAAAAAAUCGUUUCUAAACAUAGCUGCAGCGCUAACAAAAGUCUGAGUUAUUUUAAAAUGUUUUGACACGUACCUAGUCUUCGAUCUUGAUUAAUAUAAACAAGGGCUACAGUGAGUUAUGUAACAGGUAAUGUAACGGGCCCACAAGACGGCCCACCCAAGGGACCUAUCCCCCAUGCAAGCACCCACGCACUGCUAGGCCUUCAACCAACCAAGUGUGGGUGGUUUCCAGCAGAACUGCAUGCUGAAGAUUAUA